GCUUGUCUAGCUGUACAAGAUUCCUUUCAGCUCAACUUGAGACAAAUUGAAUUUGUCUGAUGAUUAUGGUGGCUAAUUGAUUUAAAAUAUGAUGCAUAGUUUGAGCUUGUCUGGUCAUGAACACGUACGGGUUAUCUAGGAGCUCUCCAGUGGAUUGUGGCUGGUCCCUGGGUUUCUGUGUGGAUUGGCUGACAGGUAGGAGAGGAGGACUGGCGAAAAUGGUAAGGAUUUAGUAUUUGUAUAUUUGUUGAUGUCUAAAUUUGAAAUAAAACCAGAUCAGAAAACUUAUAUUAUAUUGCAUUUCUUACUUCAUGGAGAUCUUGUCAAAGAAGCUUUUAGUUACUUAAAUGCAAUGUAUGGGUUACCUAGGUCGAUUUUCACUCCUAGAACAAAGCAAGGAGAACCAUUGAUCAAAUAUCCAUUGUCCCUGAUGCUCAUGGAAGAUUCUCCAUAGCCGGCGACAUCCAUAAGAACAUUGACCUGGGCAGAAUUACAGCAGAGCUUCUUGGACUGGAUCCCGCAAAGGAAUCCGCAUAUAUUCUGCUUUCUAUGCUUCACCUAGCAUGUGGUGUGAGUGAGAAAUGAAAUGAAGGGAAAUAAAAGUUUAUAUGGUACCUCGUUAUAGUUGGCUUCCGUACUUAUCUGCUGAUGACUUAUUACGUUAAGGAGUUGAGAAAUUUAUAUCAGCUAAUAAGUAUCAGAAAAUGUCACUGACACUAAUGUUGGAAAAUGAUGGUUCAAGUUUAAUGAUCUAUGACCUACAUGAGCCAAUAAAAACAUAUCGCAUCGUUUCUUUCUACUUAUAGGAAACAUUGGCUGCAGCACUUAACAUCUGUUCAGGUUGGAUUUUCAGAUAUUGAAGUCUUAGUUGUUCGAUCUGAAUCAGAUUUUAAGUCUAGUUGUAUACUCGUAUAUGGUAUUGCUUUUGGUGUUGGACACUGAUGACGUUUUACUAUUAUAUCCAAAUUUCAAAUGUAUGCACAUAUUUGUUAUUCUUUUUUCUUCCCUCCCACUAUAUACACAUGCAUUAUAUUGGUGUCACAAUUUUGUAUUUCUUGUCAUGGAUGCCAUGAGUAAUUUUGAAUCUGCAAACCAAGAUUAUUUUCCAUGAGUUCAACAAAUCAACAGUAGCAUUUAAGAGUAUCGUUUCCUGGGCUAACAUUGUGGCCUUUAAAGCUAUGACUGUAGCAUCUGCUAGACAUUUGGCACAAGCCUAACAUGUUAGUAUGUUCGUUGCUCUUGAAUUAUCUGUGACAGUCAUGUAAACCAGCUUUAGCCAUUUUCUUGUUGAUGUUCUAUAGCCUUGUUCUUUGUUUUUCUUUCACCAUAACAAGCUUCUAUAUUUGCUUAGAAACUAUGAACUGAGUAUAAAUAGAAGAAGAAAACAAAAGGAUAAAGGAAGAGCUAGAUAUAUUAAGAAGUACCGUACUGAUCAUACAUUGCGUAUUAUGAUAUGAAUCUAUAAUUUCUAAUGCUCUCGCUCUCACUCAAAAUAGGUUCUCCUGCUAGGAUGUUUACGAUCUGAAGAGGCUUUGGAUAGCACAGAGACAAUGGAAUGCAGAGCAUUUGCAGCUAUUCUGGAUUUUAGCUGUCCCCUCUUCGGAAGAGGCCUUGAUUUGCUUCUGAAACUUUUGGUGAAGAUUUCCGCAGCAGGGACAUCGGAGAUUUUUCUGUUCAUUUUGCAACCUGAAUCGUUAAUUUCAACCGUUUUCUCUUGCUUGUGAGUCUUCUUGUUUGAGAGAUGUGAAGAUAAUGGUAAUGGUUGGGGGUUUAUGUAGAAAACCCGAGCUCAACCACAAAGAUGAGAGGAAGCAAGAAACAAUAUUUUCAACUGGUGCCUGUUAGGGAUGGGGUGUGCCAGCUUGCUUGUCUAGCUGUACAAGAUUCCUUUCAGCUCAAUUUGAGACAAAUUGAAUUUGUCUGAUGAUAUUGGUGGCUGAUUGAUUUAAAACAUGAUCCACAGUUUAAUUCAAAUGAUUUAUUUGAGCUUGUCUGAUCAUGAACACGUACAGGAUAUCUAGGAGCACUCCGUGGAUUGUGGCUGGUCCCUGGUUUCUGUUGUGGAUUGGCUGACAGGAAAACCUCCUUGGUUAUGUCAACUGGCCAUGCUGCUGCCAACAGGUGAAGUCAGUUCUAUUAUUUAUAUAUUGUCCAGAUCAGAUAACUUUCUUGCAUUUCUCAUUUCGUGUUGCCACGCAUAUCUUGUCAAAGAAGCUUUUACUUGAAACUCAAUGUUAGCUUCUUGAGAGAAUGCCACAUGUGGAACACUGUGCCCGUGUGGUUUACUUCUGUCGAUUUUUACUCCUACAGCAAAGCAAGAAUGAUCAUUGAUCAAAUAUCCGUUGAUGCUCAUGGAAGAUUGUUCCAUAAGAACAGUGACCUGGGGUGUAGCAAGGAAGCUUCUUGAACUGAAGCCCGGAACAAAUCUGCUUAUACUCUGCUCUGUAUGCUUCACUUAGUAGGCAGUGUGAGUGAGAAAAGAAAUGAAGGG